GACGAACGCUGGCGGCGUGCUUAACACAUGCAAGUCGAACGGAAAGGCCCUUCCUUUGUGGGUUGCUCGAGUGGCGAACGGGUGAGUCACACGUGAGUAACCUUCCCUUGCCUUUGGGAUACCUUCAGGAAACUGUGGUUACUACCGGAUAUGCGCUCCUCCUGCAUGGUGGGGGUUGGCUUGUUUCGGCGGUUGGGGAUGGACUCGCGGUUUAUCUGUUUGUUGGUGGGGUGGUGGCUUACCAAGGCUUUGACGGGUAGCCGGCCUGAGCGGGUGACCGGCAACAUGGGGACGGGGAUACGGCCCGAACUCCUACGGGAGGCAGCAGUGGGGAAUAUGGCACAAGGGGCGGAGGCCGGAUGCAGCAACGCCGCGGGCGGGAUGACGGCCUUCGGGUGGUAAACCGCUUUCGCCUGUGACGAAGCGGGAGUGACGGUAAUGGGUAAAGAAGCACCGGCUAACUACGUG
rnacentral:rRNA from 1 species